rnacentral:rRNA from 1 species
UACAUAGGGUGCAAGCGUUGUCCGGAAUUAUUGGGCGUAAAGAGCUCGUAGGUCGUUUGUUACGUCGGAUGUGAAAACCUGAGGCUCAACCUCAGGCCUGCAUUCGAUACGGGCAAACUAGAGUUUGGUAGGGGAGACUGGAAUUCCUGGUGUAGCGGUGGAAUGCGCAGAUAUCAGGAGGAACACCAAUGGCGAAGGCAGGUCUCUGGGCCAAUACUGACACUGAGGAGCGAAAGCGUGGGGAGCAAACAGG